GUUGUUAAUUAAAUUGGUUGUAAUUCUUGCUCAAGUAGUUUUGUGUUUAUAACUUGGUUGGUUGUCUCUUGCUAUUUGGCUCAGUAGGUUAAGCUGUUAGUAGCACAGUUUACUCUGCUGAAUUGUCUCUUGCUAUUAUGUUGUGCGAAAGACUGUUUUUAGGCAUGACUUGUAUUUUGUGAUGUUGCAGUUGGUUGACUUUGUAGAUAGGACGGUGGAUAGGGAUCUUUCUCUUGUAAAAGAUCUGGGAUUGAAACCCGUAUAUGUUAUUGUACAUGUGCCUGCCGAUCAUGUCACAUGAACUGGGCUGAUCAAGAGUAAAGUUCCUGGUGUCGAAUCUAUCAUUUCAAAAGAAAGCAAAGCAUCAGUUGAUAUACUUGUUGAGGCCGGUGACAAAAUUCAAUUUAAAAAGUCCAACAAGCCUUUUUUGGUUUUGUUGCAGUCUGUUCUUGAGAAGGAAGGAACAGGAGAUUAUUUUGGAAAGACAGU